UGCACUUCGCACAGGAUAUAUCCAAGUAAACCUGGUACAUGCAUCAACACUCAACAUUUAUAACCAUGAGAUGUUGGCAAACUUUCAAUAUAUAGUAAUUCAAAAAGUAUGUUAGAUAUUAAUAUUUCAAUAAACAGUACAUCAGUAAUGUGGCAAUAAGCAAAUGCUUAUGAUUACUAAACACAUGAAUUACAGUAUUUCCC